CUAAAGCAACUUUAACUUGCUUUAACUUCUGCUGAAACAUUAUGAAAGGAUUCCCAUGCACUUUAAUUUUCCAGUUCCUCUUUAUAACCUCCAAACACCCUUCUACAUUUAUCCAUAGAUUUAAAAAUCUGAAUAACUUAGAUAUAUUCUCUCUUACAACACUGAAAUUGAGUUGCAAAGGAGUAUGAUCUGAGCCACUUCUAAUUAAAUGCUUAACUUCAAAUACCACAAAUAGCUUACCCAUUAUUUCAUUACAUAAAACUCUAUCCAAUCUUUAAUAUUCACUCCUAAUCAGUUCUACCAUUCCACCAUGUAUACUUACUCCCCUUAAAGCCCC
rnacentral:lncRNA from 1 species